rnacentral:rRNA from 1 species
GACGAACGCUGGCGGCGUGCCUAAUACAUGCAAGUUGAGCGCUGAAGGUUGGUACUUGUACCGACUGGAUGAGCAGCGAACGGGUGAGUAACGCGUGGGGAAUCUGCCUUUGAGCGGGGGACAACAUUUGGAAACGAAUGCUAAUACCGCAUAAAAACUUUAAACACAAGUUUUAAGUUUGAAAGAUGCAAUUGCAUCACUCAAAGAUGAUCCCGCGUUGUAUUAGCUAGUUGGUGAGGUAAAGGCUCACCAAGGCGAUGAUACAUAGCCGACCUGAGAGGGUGGUCGGCCACAUUGGGACUGGGACACGGCCCAAACUCCUACGGGAGGCAGCAGUAGGGAAUCUUCGGCGAUGGACGAAAGUCUGACCGAGCAACGCCGCGUGAGUGAAGAAGGUUUUCGGAUCGUAAAACUCUGUUGGUAGAGAAGAACGUUGGUGAGGGUGGAAAGCUCAUCAAGUGACGGUAACUACCCAGAAAGGGACGGCUAACUACGUG